AUUAGCUCACCACAGGCAGACUCCAAUCAUGAAUGUCCUCCUGUUUCUCGCCUGCGUUGCAGUUGCAAGCUGUCUCCCACUCAGUGAGAUACUGCAAAAUGAACAGCAUAGUAUUGCCGACAGAGAUAUUGAGGCGAGAAAUCUGUUGGGUGAUAUUUUCCAUUUCCCUG